rnacentral:piRNA from 1 species
UGGGAUUCCUCAUCAAGUAGGUUGCC